rnacentral:rRNA from 1 species
UACGGAGGGUGCAAGCGUUGCUCGGAAUUAUUGGGCGUAAAGGGGAGGUAGGUGGUCUCAUUUGUCUAGGGUGAAAUCCUUGGGCUUAACUCAAGAAGUGCCCUGGAAACGGUGAGACUCGAGUACUGGAGAGGCUAGCGGAAUUCCCGGUGUAGCGGUGAAAUGCGUAGAGAUCGGGAGGAACACCAGAGGCGAAGGCGGCUAGCUGGACAGUGACUGACACUCAACUCCGAAAGCGUGGGGAGCAAACAGG